UUCGGAGCAAACACACGGAGACGCCCUCCCUUGCCUCACGGGGCGGGUCGGGUGCUCUCAACCAAACUCUGAGGAAAGUCCCCGGGCACUGCGGCAGAAAGUGCCACUCCUAACGGGUAGGUCCCCGCGGUGGCGGGAGCACGGAGACGGCUUCGGCCUGAGGUUGCCCGCCCCGCGGAUCCGGCCGCAGGGUACAGUGAUGCGUGUUGGGGGCCUCGCGCCCCCUAACAGAACGGGGCUUACUCCGG
rnacentral:RNase_MRP_RNA from 13 species